GUCUAAGUAUAAGCAAUUUAUACAGUGAAACUGCGAAUGGCUCAUUAAAUCAGUUAUCGUUUAUUUGAUAGUUCCUUUACUACAUGGUAUAACUGUGGUAAUUCUAGAGCUAAUACAUGCUUAAAAUCUCGACCCUUUGGAAGAGAUGUAUUUAUUAGAUAAAAAAUCAAUGUCUUCGGACUCUUUGAUGAUUCAUAAUAACUUUUCGAAUCGCAUGGCCUUGUGCUGGCGAUGGUUCAUUCAAAUUUCUGCCCUAUCAACUUUCGAUGGUAGGAUAGUGGCCUACCAUGGUUUCAACGGGUAACGGGGAAUAAGGGUUCGAUUCCGGAGAGGGAGCCUGAGAAACGGCGANNNNNNN
rnacentral:rRNA from 16 species